CCUACGGGGGGCAGCAGUGAGGAAUAUUGGUCAAUGGACGAGAGUCUGAACCAGCCAAGUAGCGUGAAGGAUGACUGCCCUAUGGGUUGUAAACUUCUUUUAUAUGGGAAUAAAAUGUUCCACGUGUGGGAUUUUGUAUGUACCAUAUGAAUAAGGAUCGGCUAACUCCGUGCCAGCAGCCGAGGUAAUACGGAGGAUCCGAGCGUUAUCCGGAUUUAUUGGGUUUAAAGGGAGCGUAGGUGGAUUGUUAAGUCAGUUGUGAAAGUUUGCGGCUCAACCGUAAAAUUGCGGUUGAAACUGGCAGUCUUGAGUACAGUAGAGGUGGGCGGAAUUCGUGGUGUAGCGGUGAAAUGCUUAGAUAUCACGAAGAACUCCGAUUGCGAAGGCAGUUCACUGGACUGCAACUGACACUGAGGCUCGAAAGUGUGGGUAUCAAACAGGAUUAGAUACCCCUGUAGUC
rnacentral:rRNA from 1 species